UCAAACUCCAUGCUGAGACGGUGGUUGAUGCUCUAGUUUCUGUUGACAACAUCAAUGAAUUGUGUGGAACCCGGCAUUUUUCUUCACAGUCAAGUUCAGUUCUUCAUCUAAAUCGCAAUCUCUCCACCGCCAUGAAAGAGGACCAUCAGCAGCCAGAGCCCGUGUUUCUCAGCUCUGGAACCCGAUCAGAAAGGAAUGUUUUCUGGCCUCUUUCUCCAUCAUUCUGCAGCUCCGGUCAGCCUGUCACCCGAGCCCUGUGAUAUACUGUAGGCUCCUCCGUCCUUUAUGUGCCGUUCUCCGGGGACGGCCCACACAGAGGAGCAUUGUAGGACGGCAGACACAAUGGGUCAGUGGCUCUCAGGUUUGCUUUAUGAGCGAGUGUUUGGUGCAGUUGAGUGGAGAUGUAUAGAUGAGGGUCCGAUAUCGCUUUCCUUCAUUCAUCUUCCUCCAGCCGCCCCACAUUAACACUUUUACAGCAGAUUUGUGUGUCUGCAUUUGUCCUGCUGGAGAAACCGCCUCCAUCUUUAUGGUUUUGGCAA
rnacentral:lncRNA from 1 species